CCCGCUGAACUUAAGCAUAUCAGUUAGCGGAGGAAAAGAAACUAAACAGGAUUCCCUUAGUAACGGCGAGUGAAAAGGGAUGAGCCCAGCGCUGAAUCUCUCGGUCUAAGGCCGCUGAGAACUGUAGCGUAUAGGUUUGACUGUCUGUUUGCUAUGUAUUCUCCAAGUUCCUUUGAUAGGGGCUAGUUCAGUCCCGAGAGGGUGCUAGACCUGUGCGAGAAUUGUAGUGAGCAGUUGGUUGUUCCUUGGAGUCGUGUUGCUUGAAAGUGCAGCAUAAAGUAGGUGAUAGACUUCAUCUAAGGCUAAAUAUAACCAUGAAUUCGAUAGCUAACAAGUACCGCGAGGGAAAGUUGCAAAGAACUUUGAAGAGAGAGUUCAAGAGAACGUGAAAUCGCUGGAGUAUGCGGAGAGAGUUGACGUAACCCGGUAGCUAAGUUGUUCUUCGGAGCGAUGGUGCUGCUUAUGGUUGCAUUGGUGGCGUUGGUUAGCAACGACAGCUGCGUAGUUUAGCCCACUUCGGUGGUGUCUAGCUUGUGGUCUUGUUGUUGUCGGCUAGCGUGUAAGCCCUGUUCACAGGGUGCCAAUGUCCUAGUCGACCACCUCUCUGACCCGUCUUGAAACACGG
rnacentral:rRNA from 1 species